UACGAAGGGGGCGAGCGUUGUUCGGAUUCACUGGGCGUAAAGGGUGCGUAGGCGGCCGGGUAAGUCUGAUGUGAAAUCCCGCAGCUCAACUGCGGAACUGCAUCGGAUACUCUCCGGCUAGAGGAAUGGAGGGGAGACUGGAAUUCUCGGUGUAGCAGUGAAAUGCGUAGAUAUCGAGAGGAACACCAGUGGCGAAGGCGACUACCUGGCCUGUUUCUUGACGCUGAGGCGCGAAAGCUAGGGGAGCAAACGGG
rnacentral:rRNA from 1 species